rnacentral:lncRNA from 1 species
AUGAUGAAGACCAACAUAUAUAAAGAAGAAAAGAAUAUCAAAGUUUUAAUUCUAAUAUCGAUUUAACAUAUGGCUAUUGAGCACAUAAAUUCUCUCAUUGAGAGAUAAAGGAAUAAAAGAUAAAAAAAAAAUAUUUUUAUUAAUAUAAAAAGUUAAAAAAUACACCGUGAAUAUUUAUAUAAUUGCCUAAAGAAAAAAUCUCUAACAAACUUACAAAAC